rnacentral:rRNA from 1 species
AACCCGAGAGAUCGGGCGUCCCCUUCGGGGGACAGGGUGACAGGUGGUGCAUGGUUGUCGUCAGCUCGUGUCGUGAGAUGUUGGGUUAAGUCCCGCAACGAGCGCAACCCUCGACCUUAGUUGCCAGCAUUCAGUUGGGCACUCUAAGGUGACUGCCGGCUAAAAGUCGGAGGAAGGUGGGAUGACGUCAAAUCAUCAUGCCCCUUAUGACCUGGGCUACACACGUGCUACAAUGGGCGGUACAAAGGGUCGCGAACCCGCGAGGGGGGAGCCAAUCCCAAAAAAGCCGCUCUCAGUUCGGAUUGCAGGCUGCAACUCGCCUGCAUGAAGCCGGAAUCGCUAGUAAUCGCGGAUCAGCAUGCCGCGGUGAAUACGCUCCCGGGCCUU